rnacentral:miRNA from 1 species
GAAUGGGGGAAAGAGGGAAGGAAGGAAGGAAGGGAAAAUAGGGCGGCAAAGGAAGAGAAAGGUGAGGGAGCACGGAGAUCUAAAAAAGGUAAGGCGGGCAGAGGCAAUAAACGGGGCGGGUACAGGGAGAAGUAAAGCGAGGCCUUCUAAUGGUCUCGCACUUUCUGGCAUUUACAUCCCCAUCCCUCCACACACUCACACGCCAUUUUUUUUUUUUUUUUUUUUCUUCCUCUUUCUCUCUAAUUC